GCCCCACUUCCGGGUGCGCUGGGCCUUUUCCAGGCUCUCCCGCCGGCGGCCCGGGGAGGGUUUCAGUCUGCGUGCCCGGAACUGGAGCUGGGUGUGAAUCGUGAGGCGCCUGACACCUAGAAGGCACUGGGCUGAGGAGAGGAGGAGGAAAGAAAGUGGAGGCCAGGCGGCCGGGACGGGACGCGGUCUCUCCUGGGACCUCUGCCGCCCAGGCGCCUCGGGCCACAGGGCAACCUCGCUGCUUUCCCCGUGCUGUUGCAGGACGAUCGCGUGCACAAGGAGGCGCCCUCGGCCGCCCGGGAACCCCAGGGCAGCCCGGGCCGCGGCGCCUCCGCAGUCUCCGUGUGCACUGGGGCUGCGGCCAGCAAGCGGCGGCGAACGUCCCGUGAGAACGGAAGAUGCUCGGUCGGGUUGGACCCGGCCUGGGCGCGAUGCCCCGGUUCCCUUCUGCCGCCACCGCCCCCCAACCCCGCCCGCCUCGCCCGCCUCGCGGUCGCCAUGGCAACCUCCGCGUGCCGAGCUUUCUCCCGGUGUGAUCAGGCCCGGAACCGUCUGGAACCCGCAGUGCUGUACGUGAGGAUUUAAGGACAGAGCAGCUCGACCCAGCUUUGAGGCGGGCGGACCGUUUCCUGCCGGAAGGAAACGCUGCUGGCCGUCGGAUCUGGGUUCCCCGCCACCCUGCUGACUCCUUCGGCCUCGGGGGCUGUGGGGCUGCAAGCUCUCAGCCGGCCCGGCCCACGUCCUGCUAGCUGCGUCCUGGCUUCCCGCAGUCUCCAAACUGAAAAUGUCCAACAUCUUUCUUCUGGCUUUCAGAAGCAUAGCACACCAUUGUCCUCCAUGGUCGCCCUGCUGUCCUUGCUACACCAGGCAACCGGGAGAAUGGCCAGAAAGUGAAGUCUUUGCACCCUGAGGCUAAUAUCACAUUGCUCUGCGGAGAUGGAUUCAGCCCAGAUUUUCCCCACUAACACAUAAUGAGAUUGAAAAGAGAAAAGUCUUGGUGACUCGCUGAAGAUCCAGUGGGCAGUUACUGAAGGAUUCAAAUCUGUAAAGGAGUCUUCUAACGUCAAGCAUACAACAAAUAUGUGCACGGAUGUUUCUUUGCAGUGCUUUCAGUCAGAGAUGUUUAAUGGUUUGAAAUCUGGGGUAGUAUUCUAGGAGUGAGGCAAUUUAGUAGUAAGAGCUCUCUUCCAGAAAUCUGGGG
ensembl:lncRNA